rfam:Tupaia chinensis contig60918, whole genome shotgun sequence.
GUGCUUGCUUUGGCAGCACAUAUACUAAAAAUUGGAACGAUACAGAGAAGAUUAGCACGGCCCCUGUGCAAGGGUGACACAUAAAUUCGUGAAGCGUUCCAUAUUUUU